UCACCUGUUUAUCAAAAACAUGUCUUAUUGAUAAUAAUUUUAAGUCUAAUCUGCUCAAUGAAUUUUAUUUAAAUAGCUGCAGUAUAAAUAACUGUACAAAGGUAGCAUAAUAAUUAGUUUUUUAAUUGAAAACUAGAAUGAAAGAUUUAAUGAAAUAUAAACUGUCUCAAAAUUAGUAAAUAAAUUUUUUUUUUAAAUAAAAAAAUUUAAAUAUAUUUAAAAGACGAUAAGACCCUAAAGAAUUUUUAUAUUUUUUAUAUUUUUAUUAAUAUAUUAAAUAUUUUAAUUGGGGAAAUUUUAAAAUUUAAUUAAUUUUUAAUUAAAUAAUUAACAUUUAUUUAUGAAUAAAAAAUACUUUUUUAAAAAAAUAAAAUAAAUUACCUUAGGGAUAACAGCAUAAUUUUUUUUAAAAGAUCAAAUUUAUAAAAAAGUUUAUGACCUCG
rnacentral:rRNA from 1 species